UACGUAGGGUGCAAGCGUUAAUCGGAAUUACUGGGCGUAAAGCGUGCGCAGGCGGUGAUGUAAGACAGAUGUGAAAUCCCCGGGCUUAACCUGGGAACUGCAUUUGUGACUGCAUUGCUGGAGUGCGGCAGAGGGGGAUGGAAUUCCGCGUGUAGCAGUGAAAUGCGUAGAUAUGCGGAGGAACACCGAUGGCGAAGGCAAUCCCCUGGGCCUGCACUGACGCUCAUGCACGAAAGCGUGGGGUGCAAACAGG
rnacentral:rRNA from 1 species